AACAACACCAGAGACAGAUACAAAAUAACAUUUUAUAUUACAUAUACUCCUUGCUAUAAUUGCAGUGAUAAGAUAAUAUCAUUCUGCAGAGGCAGGAGUGGAAUAACUAUGGAAAUAAAAGCUUCGAAACCAUAUUCGAAAGAUGGACAAAAUGGUCUACGCCAUCUGCAGUGCAAUGGCUUUCCAGUUGAAGAAAGGAUAAAAUUUGAUUACCAACAAUACUGUAAUUUAUGUGUGGAUUCCUCAAUGAAUUUGGACAAUGAGGAAGAAGAAAUGGAAACAGAAAGGCAAGAAGACCAAGUACAAAGUCAUAACCAAGCAAUUGAGUCACACAACAUUUCAGGUAAUCUAUAUUCUUCACCGGUGAGGGAAAGAACUCAGCAUCUGGGAGCAGAGACUCCUCAGAAGUCUAACUACUCUGGGGGGAAAAUAGAAGUUUGCAGAGGAGCAGUAAGGAAACUUUUUCCGGAGGACUAAAAAGAUGGGUGUAACUCAUAGGCAGAUGUAAAGUUGGACAAAAUCAGACCAUUGGGUUAAAGCCAACCAUCACCCUGACGAAGAGAACUGUGAUUCUCGAAAGCUUAUGCUACAGUAAAGUUGGUUAGUCUUAAAGGUGCUAUUGGACUCUUUUCUAUUUAACCAUCACCCUAGGGUCUGGUGAAUAGGUAUAAAAGGCCAGAGGAGGAACAGGGAAGAGUGGACCCUCAGCAAAGCUCUGUGCGACUGGUGAAGAAAUCAGCUCACCAACCUAAGUGGUCAACAGACUAUUUUGUGUCUAGCCAACAAAGAACAACAGUCUACAGAUGUAGACAAUAUGAUUAAUCACAUUUCUAUUAAUCUGGAAGUUUAGAAAAGGAUUAGAUAUGCUAUAGGGAUAUCCUGUAAGAAUUAUAAUCAAGGUGUGCUGUGAAAAAACAAUAAGGAAUGCCUCAAAAAACAAAAAUGUUGCAUCAUCUCAUCUCAGUCACCACCACAGAUGAAAAGAUUGUAACAUCCCUGAGCAAAGAAAAGCUAUUGGACUUCACCUAUAGAAUGGAGGUUAGUAGCUUGUGAUAUUGUGCUUGAAGAAAAAAAUAAUUGGCAGCACCUCCAUCUUGAAGGUGGGACAAGCUUUUCUCUAUAUGUCACAUCAAUGUAGUGUCACAAAACCUGAAUGUUAAUUGAACAGAUCAGGCCUGAGGAUUUCUACUACUUUUUACGCUACAAGUUAUCCACAACAAAACCUAUACAAAUAAAAGGAUUGUAGGUCUGUCUGUCCAGCCGUCUAUGGCAGGCAAAACUCAGGAGAAAAUAAAACUAGGUUUUUUUUUAAAUUGGCCUGUGGUUUUGUGAUGACCAUGGGAGAUGCAGCACCAACAAUGAAGGAAAUUGGAGUUUCCUGGCCCAGAUUAUGUACAGAACAUCCUUGUGCUAUUGCAGUGGAAGAGAUGGUGUGCUUUCUUGAGGCCAAGGAAGUGGAGGCAGCACAGACAGCAAGGGUGGAAUAGAUCCCCUCAUUUAUAAACCAAAGAUGCGUAAUAAUUUGCUUGAGCUAUCCGAGCAAGUGUGUGUAGUGGUUACAGUAUCAGGCAAGGAUCAAGGAGCCACAGGUUCAAAACCUACCUCACAGGGUUGCUGUGAAGAUAAAAUUGAAAGAAAGAUGAUAUAAAUCCCUUUGGGCCUCCAUUGAGGAGAAAGGCGGAGUAUAAGUGAAGUAAAUGCAACUUCUAUUUGCAAUGGAAGUGAUGGUUUUCUGUGACAGCCACAAUUCAUCAGAAAAUUCACAAGAGUAGCAAACAUUGGGGCUGCUAAGUGGAGCAUGCAGGGGUGUGGUGGAAUUGGAAGUACCAGGAAGCAACUACAAUAGGAGAACAAGAAAGCACAUACUGGCUUGCUUUAAGGUAUUCCUAUGGGCAGAGUUGAUAAGAUUAAAAAUCUCGGAAAGUUGAAUAUAGAGCUACUGCAUUUUAAAGCAAUUUUGCUUGG